GAUGAACGCUGGCGGCGUGCUUAACACAUGCAAGUCGAACGGUGAAGCCAAGCUUGCUUGGUGGAUCAGUGGCGAACGGGUGAGUCACACGUAAGCAACCUGCCCUGGACUCUGGGAUAAGCGCUGGAAACGGCGUCUAAUACUGGAUAUGAGCCUCUUCCGCAUGGUGGGGGUUGGAAAGAUUUUUUGGUCUGGGAUGGGCUCGCGGCCUAUCAGCUUGUUGGUGAGGUAAUGGCUCACCAAGGCGUCGACGGGUAGCCGGCCUGAGAGGGUGACCGGCCACACUGGGACUGAGACACGGCCCAGACUCCUACGGGAGGCAGCAGUGGGGAAUAUUGCACAAUGGGCGGAAGCCUGAUGCAGCAACGCCGCGUGAGGGAUGACGGCCUUCGGGUUGUAAACCUCUUUUAGCAGGGAAGAAGCGAAAGUGACGGUACCUGCAGAAAAAGCGCCGGCUAACUACGUG
rnacentral:rRNA from 1 species